UGUUUAUUCUCGAACACAGAAUGUGCUUUCUGUGGAAAGCAGUGCGUAUCUUGAGAAGAACAGAAUAAUCAGUAAUACAUCUGUAUUUGGGUUAUGAUUUCGACCAUUGCACAUUCCAAGGGUAUAAAAAAAAAGUUUUCCAAGUGUUAUUUUAAUAUCAACACUUUAUUUUAAUGUAACUGCUUCAAAGGCAGCUCUUUUACUUUUCCUGGGAUAAAUUACCUGUUACAUAUCCAGCCAGGCAAGCAAAUAACAUAAAAUUAAUGAGAACGUAUAGUUGAAUCAAAGGAGUCUUCUAUAUGCACAUAAAAUAAUAUUGUUUCUGUGAUAUAUACAUGAAGGGGAGGUCACUAGCCUGAGUGGGCAGACUUGAAUUGUUGAUAAUGACUUGCAGUAAAAUACAGUGAUGGAGUCACUACUGUUCCUUUAAAAGGGACAAGAGAAAUUAAUGAAAGAUUUCAUUAUUACUUUCCCUGUUUUCCAUCCCCAAAUCCUCCAUCACAUAAAACAGAUGUGAGUUAUUGAUGUUCUCCAUCACUUAUGUCUAAAUAGCUUACCUCCUCUUUCAUCUUUUCUGCCUUCCACUCCAUCCUCCAAGAAAUUCACUUGUCUCUGCCUUGUUCCAUUUUUGCAAUCUUUGCAUUAUCCUUUGUUGUCUAUUUGUAAUAUUGCCCCAGUUUACUGACAGGUCUCCAAGAGAAGGCUUUGAGGCUCCAUUAUGAUGUACUUGAGGUUUAUUGAUCGUGGCUGCAGUGUGGUGGUAUCCACCAGCAUUUGCUGAGGUCACGAACAUCCCCGGGAUUUUACACUGGGAUCGCAGCAACAGAAGCCAUAGAUUAUGUUGGAAGUGAGAUUUUCAUUGCUGCUGAAAAUUUCUGCUUGGAAUCUGCAUAUCUCUUUCCUGCUUGCUGCUUUAAUAUUAACACCCUCUUCCUUUAUCCCAUUCCCUCAUUUCCUACCUCUGCAUGCAUGUGUGCACAGAACUCUUAAUGGACUUGUAUCCUCUCUGUUGCUUUUACCCCACUAUAUAUAUAUUUUUUUUACUCAAUCUAUCUUUUCUUCUGCCUGACUUCUCACAGGUAUAAGUUGUUCCCCUACCAGCAUUGACAGUGAUAGAUUAAGAAUGGAAUGACUUAUCUGCACCUUGUAAUCCAAACAGAAUCACAGUCUGCUGUUAGCAGUCCACAGGGGUUGCUGCUGAAUAAAUUGGAAUGCUGGUAGCUGUGCUCGCUGAAGCUUCUCUCAUCUUGAAUACGUGAGAAAGAGGGGAAGAGGAACCCUGUGGAUUUAAACAAAAAAGAAAACAAAACACCAACAACAGAGGAUGAUGCCCUUACCCUAGAGAAGUAUUUAUGAGGUUAAAUCCUGUAUUUAGCAGCUAAGGAGGAAUAGUGCACUCUUUUCAUUCACACAUUCAAUUUUUCCCUCAAAUGAAACAAGGUUAUUUUGAUGGGAGGUGCCCCUUCUCUCAGGUGGGCAGGAAAAGUUUCCCUGACUGCCACAAGGCCCUGAAAUUGGAAGUCACGUUCCCUUAGGCAGCGGUCACAAACCAGCAGUCAAACUGCACGUGUGUCUCGUGUGGCUCGCAUUUCAUCCGGCUGCAGAAGGCAGAAUGGUGGAACUGCUUCUCCAGCAGGAGAGGCAAGGAAUUUCAGACACCAGCUUCUACUCUAUUACCACAGGGAAGAAAAUUAUGGAACAUGUACUGUUUAGGGCAAAGAAGAUGUAAGACAGCAAUUAAGAAAUUUAAGGAAACAACUGAAGAUUUAGAGAAGAUUUGGAAGAAAUUUGUGGGGGAAAAAUAAGAGUCUAAGAGAAACAUUGAAGAUCCAGCAGUGAAAGGAAAGUAGUAGCUUGAUGGUAAUUGAUAAAACAGUAAUUUUAUCUCUGGGCAGACAUUUACUUAUAUUACACUUGUAUUUGAAUUUUUCUUUUCUUCAGCGAUGGAUGCAUAUUGAGAUUUGAAAUUUUAAUUUAAAAUGCAGUGGGGGGAAAAAAGUGUUUUUAAAUAGGGUUUUGAGAAUUCUGAGUAUGAGAUCUCAGAAUACAGGAUCUGAGUAUACCAGUUGAGUAAACUGACCAAAUGCAGGUUUAGAAUAUCUUAUACUGUCAGCAUGAAAAGUAAAUAUGGUAUUUUGGAGGUCUCUCUACCUACUGUAGCUUUUUCAGUUUGAAAGUAAAGGGUGUUUUUUUUUUCACCUUCUUAAUUAUUCUAUUGUUGAAAAUUUUCAGGCCAGAUUAGGCACUUAGUGUUGCUUGUUCCAGAGUGAUUGAGGCAACAACAUGAAGAAAGACUGAAGCAGGGAUCAUUGGGGUAUUCAGACUUUUAUGCUGGUGAAAUAUCGCAACUGAUGUUGCUGUAACUUGAUUUAUUUCACGUAAUCUUCUAUAAUAAUUUUUUAGACUCAUUAGUGGCUUUAUUUAUUUUUUUUAACUUUUCUUUUCCCUGGAUAAAAUCUCAGCUUUCAUGCCAUCCCGUGAAGCAUUAAAAUACCAACCCUGCCAGCUUCAGAGAACAGAAAGAGACUAUAAAGGGCUUUGUUUAUACAGUGGCUUUUAUGUCGCUGCUCGGAUUCCCUGGAUCUUCAUUCUCUCUGCUGCAGUAGCGGGGUGCCCGAUGCCUUUUUGGUAGCCCUGUGCGCUCCUGUAAUGAGGCUCUAUUGCCACGCGAGGUCAGCAGCUGCCGAGAAAAAGCAGGAAAUAACUCACUCCACCGCAAUCCGUUUUCAUUUGCUUUAUUUAGAAUACUUAAAAAUCAAUACAUCCUUCAGAACCGUAUAUACAGUGUGCAAAACCAAAGGAUUUCUUUUGAACGCUCAGCAUCUUCAGCAAAGAGUCUUCCUUGCGAGUUACUACAGAGGGAGGAUCUAGAAUGGCUUUAGGGAACAUUUAUUGGCUUCCCGAGUAGCAUGAGAUAAUUGCUGUGGCAGAGGAUGGUAUUCUGUACAGUGUGAUGAUGACAGGGUUUCAGCCUUAUCUUUUUGUCUCUACUAAAUUGGUGAUACUAAAUCAAAAAUGAAUAAGGUGUUAUUGCUGCAGGAAAUAAUUUGGAAUACAGAAAUGGAAAAUACCCUUCCUUUUUACUGCAGUAAUAAUCACUGUUCUGUCAAGAUAAGGGGGAGAUGUCACCUGAGAGGAUUUCCCCCCUGCUUUAGUCUUUGCUUUGAAAGCAAAACACCCCCCACUAACACAGGUGAAAAGCUUGGUGCCAAAGUUUCUGAACAGCAUUUGAGAAUAAGUAUUGAGUUCUGUUAUAGGCUUACUAUUGGCUAAUCAUUUCCUUAGCAUAAGUCUCAUUUCCCACAUAUAACUCCAAAGAAGAUAUUCACUUCUCUGGUAAAGUUUUAGAAUAAAUUCUUUUGGAUGGGAUUUUCUGAUUUACUGUUUAAACAGUGGGAUUACCAACUGCAGUGUCACACCUGAAUCUUAGUGUUCCUUUUCCUGAAAUUCAUAUUGUUAUUUCUGUGAGUAUGCCCUUCUUCCU